rnacentral:rRNA from 1 species
CCUACGGGUGGCAGCAGUGGGGGAUAUUGCACAAUGGGGGAAACCCUGAUGCAGCGACGCCGCGUGGGUGAAGAAGCGCCUCGGCGCGUAAAGCCCUGUCAGCAGGGAAGAAAAUGACGGUACCUGAAGAAGAAGCCCCGGCUAACUACGUGCCAGCAGCCGCGGUAAUACGUAGGGGGCAAGCGUUAUCCGGAUUUACUGGGUGUAAAGGGGGCGCAGACGGCGAUGCAAGCCAGGAGUGAAAGCCCGGGGCCCAACCCCGGGACUGCUCUUGGAACUGCGUGGCUAGAGUGCAGGGAGGGCAGGCGGAAUUCCUGGUAUAGCGGUGAAAUGCGUAGAUAUCAGGAGGAACACCGGUGGCGAAGGCGGCCUGCUGGACUGCAACUGACGUUGAGGCCCGAAGGCGUGGGGAGCAAACAGGAUUAGAUACCCGGGUAGUC